AACCAACCAACCAGCCAGCAAGAAGUUUGCAAAACUCGCCGGGCAACUUGGCCAGCUCAACUCACGUUAAGUCAACUGGGCUGGAAGUGGCAGUGGCAGUGCCAACAAGCUGGCACUAACAGUGCCAAAAGCAAUUUAUUUCAAUCGGACUGCAAUCAAUACUUCAAAAGGUGAUCCCAUAUAUCUAGCCAUUCAUCUGCAGACGUUCUUAAUCGAAGUUACAGAUUGCUCAAGUCUACAGUGCAUAUCCAUAACAAUUAAACAUCCAUCAGUCCCCCACUACGGGGCAAAUUCAAAUCAAUAGACAAACAAUAAGCUCGAGUUCGCAGGCCAACUGCCAUUUACAGGAGGGCUGUGGAAGCCAUGUUGACAGCAC